GCUGGGAUGGCGGAAUUGGUAUACGCGCUAGCUUCAGGAGCUAGUUCUCGCAAGAGAUUGGGAGUUCAAAUCUCCCUCCCAGCA
rnacentral:tRNA from 1 species